rnacentral:lncRNA from 10 species
CUCACCUUGGAACGGGGCUGGCUCUCAUGUCUGCAGGGACGGUAGAUCUGAAGAGGCCACUCCCUGGGAGGUCCAGCAGGUCCCAGGGAGGCCUGUGACACCCAUGUGAGGCUCAGAACGAUGUUCUGUGGCCGUGGGAAGUGUGGAAAACCCACUCUCCACAAGUGCCACGUGUGGCCUUGGUUUUCUAAGAUGAGCUUCGUUUCAAUGCCUUGUGAUUUGCCGAUGUCAACACAAGCUGCCAUGCGUGUGCUGGGGAGACACGGCAGCCCCCAGUCCAGUUGUCUUGCUGGCCUUAGGUUUGAGGAGAGCUCUAUAAAUGUUAACUGAGUGGAUUCUAAAAGAGGUGCCUGGGCUGCUGCACGGAUCAAAAGACAGAAGAGUGGCCUGGUGCGCACUGAGCUGAGGGUGAGCAAAGGCAGCCCAGUCGCUGUGGUUCACAGCGUGAUGCUUGUGCUGCCACAAAGUGUGCUGUGUGACACACGCAGCCCCCUUCCGUCAGAGCAGCUGAAUGUUCCCAUGAAGUAAAUUUGAAUGAGAUAAUGGCGUGGUCUGUGAACACCUGCUAUGCUCUCUCGACUUCAGGCCUGAACUGUAGAAUGAAGGAGUUGAACACCAAACCAACAUGUGCGUCCUUAUAACCCCCCAAAUUAUUCUGUUCUAUUCUACUCAUGGCCAAAUACUAAAACAGAAAUGUUUCCAUUAGAUGAAAAUUCAUGAAGAUCUAUUUCAUGAAUCAUACCAAAAAUAAUGGAAAAGUUUCAUGUAGAACAUAAC